AAUUCAAAUUUGUGGCUCCACAUAUAUAAGAAAAAUCAUUCAGAUAAAUCAUUCAGGCUCCACAAUCAAAAUUCAAACCAGGUCUCCCUCUCUAAAACUCUCUCGCGUUGGAGUUUGUAUACAAAUUCAGACGCCAUUAAAUCUUAUCCCUUUAACGGAACAAUAACCACAUCAUGUCUUCUUCACUCUCCGUUUGAUUCUUUCUCUCUGAUUCUAUCUACAGAUCGAUUCAUUUGGUUGCUGUUAAUCUGUCUGGAUUCAUAUCUGUUCGUUCUCAUUGCUCCCAUUUCUCCUCCUUCAUCUCAAUAAGGUGAAUCAGAGGAUGAUAAUGAUAGGGGAGAUGAUGUAGAAGAAGAGCCGCAUGAAGAAAAUAACGCAUUCUUUGACACUCCGAACUUUUUACCAUCAGGUGAACUAUUCCCGAAGCCAAGGCUACGGCAGCCACAAGUGUGUUAUGAUUCAUAAUUUGAUGCAAAUUUGAUCUAUGGUUGAAGUUUUCUUUUAAUUUGUAACAAUUUGUUAAGUAGCAAUGCGUUGAUCAAAGAUAGUCAAAACAUUCAGAUAAAUGGACGACGAAUCCGAAGUUUUUGGGGAAUGCUAAGUGGAAGUUUCGGCAGAUUCAAGUGGCGUAUUCUGACUGGAUGACAGUUUAUCGGCUAGCUCACCGGAAUCUUCUAUUGAUGAACCUUCCAGAAGCAAACAAGCUGAGUUGGUAGACGAACAAAGCUCUGGUUCAGUUUCUCCCGGUUCAAGGACAUCUGAACCACAAUUGACUGAUAAGGUCGAGUCAUCAAGCCCACAAAACAUGGAAAACUACACCAAUAUUGGAUAAAGAUUUCGCAGACUACUCAAUUGCACAAGAAAAAUAAAUGUUGACAUUAAUGAGCAAUUGGAAUUAUCUGAAGCAAUUUGUGAGGAAGAUGCUUGCAAUAAUACUCGACUGAAUUCUAAUAAGUUGGCUCAAAAGCAAGAAUCAAGUCAUGCGCGUGAAGAAUGAUGACACUAGGAACCGCUUUUUGGAUGGCUACAACCUAGGAACAUUAUGUAACUGAAAGCAAAGCCUGACAUAGGCCGUAACGCCUAUCACCAUCGUGUACCACAGAUAUACAAUAGGGAAACAUCAUUUCUACAACUUAUCUUCGUAACGCAGCUGGUGUUAGUAAGAUAGGUUAUUUAUGAAUUGAUACAACAAUAUUUUGUAUACACCAGGUAGAGGUAGAUAGGGUAGGUAAUGUUAAUGAAACCCACCAACUUAAUGUAACAAGCAUCGGGCUUUCAUCCAUUGUAAUAUAUAUAGCAGAUCCCCGCCGAAUGUGUGUGUCUGCUGGUGAUGAUAAAAUAA